GACGAACGCUGGCGGCGUGCUUAACACAUGCAAGUCGAACGGAAAGGCCCUGCUUUUGUGGGGUGCUCGAGUGGCGAACGGGUGAGUAACACGUGAGUAACCUGCCCUUGACUUUGGGAUAACUUCAGGAAACUGGGGCUAAUACCGGAUAGGAGCUCCUGCUGCAUGGUGGGGGUUGGAAAGUUUCGGCGGUUGGGGAUGGACUCGCGGCUUAUCAGCUUGUUGGUGGGGUAGUGGCUUACCAAGGCUUUGACGGGUAGCCGGCCUGAGAGGGUGACCGGCCUCAUUGGUACUGAGAUACGGCCCAGACUCCUGCGGGAGGCAGCAGUGGGGAAUAUGGCGCAAUGGGCGGAAGCCUGAUGCAGCAACGCCGCGUGCGGGAUGACGGCCUUCGGGUUGUAAACCGCUUUCGCCUGUGACGAAGCGUGAGUGACGGUAAUGGGUAAAGAAGCACCGGCUAACUACGUG
rnacentral:rRNA from 1 species